rnacentral:misc_RNA from 1 species
GAACGCACAUUGCGCCCCUUGGUAUUCCGAGGGGCAUGCCUGUUCGAGCGUCAUUACACCACUCAAGCACCGCUUGGUAUUGGGCAUCGUCCGUCGAAAGGCGGGCGUGCCUCGAAGACCUCGGCGGGGUUUCUCCAACUUCGGGCGUAGUAGAGUUAAAUCAAAACGUCUUAUAAGCUUGGUGAGAUCUCAUUGCCGUUAAACCUUUUAUUUUUCAGGUUGACCUCGGAUCAGGUAGGGAUACCCGCUGAACUUA